CCUACGGGUGGCAGCAGUGAGGAAUAUUGGUCAAUGGGCUUACGCCUGAACCAGCCAAGUCGCGUGAGGGAAGACUGCCCUAUGGGUUGUAAACCUCUUUUGUCAGGGAGCAACGCCGGCUACGUGUAGCCUGACUGAGAGUACCUGAAGAAAAAGCAUCGGCUAACUCCGUGCCAGCAGCCGCGGUAAUACGGAGGAUGCGAGCGUUCGCCGGCUUUAUUGGGUUAAAAGGGUGCGUAGGCGGAAUGCCAAGUCAGCGGUAAAAUCGCGGGGCUCAACCGCGCUCGGCCGUUGAAACUGGGGUUCUGGAGUGGGCGAGAGGUAUGCGGAAUGCGUGGUGUAGCGGUGAAAUGCAUAGAUAUCAGGCAGAACUCCGAUGGCGAAGGCAGCAUACCGGCGCCCAACUGACGCUGAAGCACGAAAGCGUGGGUAUCGAACAGGAUUAGAUACCCGAGUAGUC
rnacentral:rRNA from 1 species